GAUCUGUUUCCUCUGCUGAUUAGGCUGGCCUCCCAUAUUUUUUCCCCAAAACAGAAAAAAAGACAAGCACUUGGAUUGAUUAACUGUCUGCUGCAACGGUCAGACGUCCUCAGGAGUUUUGUUGCCAAAGCUCGCUCCUUACACAAGUGCCUACGGGACAAUCAGAGAAUCGGGGCACCCUACUUUUGGCCACGCGGCGCCCCUGUCUCGAAUGGUGACCGCCACGACCCCCUGCAACCCCUUCCUGAGACCUGCGCUUCCUGUCACACACAAGCACGCGAGGAGGCAUUAGACAAAGGCGAUGAGAAAGUUUUGAAGGUGUCAGCUUCCUUUUUAUACCAUCCAAUCUGUUUAUAUGAAUACGUCUAUAAUGAUGUGAUGUCAGUGACUGAUUCAGAGUGAGUGGGAGAAUAAUGAGAUGCCCCAUUAUCAUAAUUUCCCUGAUUUAGAUGAGUGGUUUUCUAACUCUGGGUAGUGAGCUCUUGCAUUGUCCUCUUAAACAUUCGCUCUCUCACUAACUCACUCGCUCACUGUGCGUGAGUGUGAGUGUGUGUGUGUGUGUGUGUGUGUGUGUGUGUGUGUGUGUGUGUGUGUGUGUGUUUAUAUCAGCCCACAAACACUGUUUCCGUCAUGAGGGGUAAAAAGAGACCAAACAGAGAUAAUAUUUGGGGAAGGAAGGAUUUUCUGCACUAAUGUUACAAAUUUAACAAUAAAAAAAACAAUGGCAGGUAUAGACGAUCCAUUAUGAGUCACCUUUUGGUUUUAAAACAAGCUCAUUUGCUCAGGAAGUACAUAUUAAAAACAUUCUGCAGUUUACUCUGCACAUAUCAUUGAGACGUGUUAGUUUUCUCUAGAUGUGCAUGUGAUGCAAAAUGACAUUAUUAUGAAGUAUCUGCCAUCUAUAGCUUUAUGUCUGUGGUUUGUGUAGCUUCACGCUUAGACAGGAAAUAAGGAUGAGAUGGUUUUCCUGUCUCUCUUCAUCUAUAUUUUCUUUAGAUUUACAUUUCACAAGGAUUUCUACUUGAACACGCUGUUGAUUUUGUGAGGUGUUAAGGUUGUGUGAUCACUGAUGCAUCACAAUUCUCAUCCACAUCUCAACUACAUUAUCUUAUUGUCAUCAGAGAGGCACUUGAAUGAUUAAGUAUUGCACCUCCAUGAAGUCGGGGGACUCACAAGAGACGGGUUUAAAAAAGAAUAUUCAGAAUUAGUGCUGCAACUAACGAUUCUUUUCAUUACACAUUCAUUUGCCGAUUAUUUUGUCGAUUAAUUGUUGAAUCCUUUGGUCUAUGAAAUGUCAGAAAAUAGAGAAAGAUGUCAAUCUCAGUUUCUCAAAGUCGAAGGUGAUGUCUUGUUUUGUCAGUCCUUAACCCAAAUAUAUUUAGUUUAAUAUGUAAAAUGGCAAAAAGCAGGAAAUAUCAAUAUUUGAGAGGCCAUGUUUGUCUCUCGUAUGGGCCAACCUCCAAAAAGUGUUAGAUCCUUCAUUUCCCAUAAUGCAGCUUGAUUGCAUCUUUCAUUAGACAUCAUCAGGGUUAUUUUUUAAACUGUGGAAACACCGUUCAGAGCUUCAGGACACAUUGUACUCCUGGUGUCACGGGCUUUAUACUCCUUGUGAGGAGUAGUGUUGGACAUGUUACUUAAACAAUGUAUGUAAUUACUCUUUACAUAUUUAACAUUUAAAAAAGUAAUUACAUUACUUUUCUAUUUACUCAACAGCAAAAUGAAUGUGUUACAUGACUGUGGGUUAAUGUGAUUAACUCAAAAUCCUCUAGACUUCACAUGUGUAGAAAUAUAAAACAUAAUUGUAACCAGCAGUCUGCUUACGUUUUAGAGGUGUUACCUGACCAUCAGUAGUGGUAGAACUAGAAGUCACCUCGAGGUCCUGCGUCAAGCUCACAUGUCCUGGUGCGGGGCAGUCACUCCACUGAGUACACUCACCAAACUGACGCAACCUCAUUCAAACUCCUGGUAAGACAGCACACAAGUCCUGAAGUCAAAGUAACAGCAUUACUGGGUUUAGUAACUAUCGUAAAGACUGAAUUACAUAUGCAAACCCUUAUACUUCCCUUUACUGUGAGAAGUCAUCACAUUAUACUCUUACUGCCCUCAAUGGUCACAAUUUAUCUGAAAGAAAAAAAUUCAGAGUUAUAAAUCAUACCAACAUCCACAGCAGAUUUGUUAAGAUUUAUCUUUUCCUUUGCAUCGUAGUAAAUCUAAAGAGUGCUCUCUUCCUCCCAGCCUGAUAGCAGCUAACAGCUCUGUUGGUGAUUGACGUCUAGUAACCACCAAUUAAUGUGCCGGACAAUCUUGAUUUUUAGCCUAAAUUUAGGAAGCCAGCAUUCAAUACGAAGCACAUUAUUAAAUGAUGGAGGAAUGAGCCAUCAUUAGUUCACCGGUUUAGGACAUUUGGAGAUGCUUUAGACAGUUUGACAGUUUAGUUUGACAUUUUGGAAAAUACACUUAUUUGCUUUUUAGAUGAGAAGAUGAAUAUCGCUCUCAUAUCAGUGAGCUAGAAGUGAAGCUACAGCCAGGAAACGGUUCGUUUAAAGACUGGAAACAGGGAAACUAAAGGUAACAAUCUCCCUCACAGCAGAUAAAAAGAUAAAGAAUUAGCACUUGACAUCCUGUGCCUGGCGAGCUGUUUCUCCAGAACCGCAGGAAAAAAAUUGUAUUUCUCUAAAUGUCGAAAAUGGUAUUGUACCCAAGUUUGUAUGUUUGCUGUUGUGUUUUAAACCAAUAAAACUGCGUAAAUCUCCACAUAGCAAU
ensembl:lncRNA